UCUCGCCUACGGGGGGCAGCAGUGGGGAAUAUUGCACAAUGGGGGAAACCCUGAUGCAGCGACGCCGCGUGAGUGAAGAAGUAUUUCGGUAUGUAAAGCUCUAUCAGCAGGGAAGAAGAAAGACGGUACCUGACUAAGAGGCCCCGGCUAACUACGUGCCAGCAGCCGCGGUAAUACGUAGGGGGCAAGCGUUAUCCGGAUUUACUGGGAGUAAAGGGAGCGGAGGCGGCUGUGCAAGUCUGAAGUGAAAGCCCAGGGCUCAACCCUGGGACUGCUUUGGAAACUGUGGAGCUAGAGUGCUGGGG
rnacentral:rRNA from 1 species